rnacentral:rRNA from 1 species
UUGAUAGGUCAGGUGUGUAAGUGCUGUGAGGCAUUGAGCUAACUGAUACUAAUUGCCCGUGAGGCUUGACCAUA